rnacentral:hammerhead_ribozyme from 1 species
CUGCUGAGGAGUCCCAUAAUAGGACGAAACGACCGUCAAGGAG